CACACAUGCUAGUAAACUGUCAUGUAAUUCGCACUCCACAACAGCAGGUGGCGCUGUUAGCGACUUGCUUGGCGCCGCCACCGACAUGAAAACAGAAGAGAAGAAGAAACGCUAGCGUGAGGGACGUUUUGAACACGAUGAGCGGCCAACAGGCAUUGUAUCUACCACAUUUGGACUGGGAGGAAAGUGGCCUGCCUGAUGAGCCACACCAUGGUGUCACUGUUCCUGACAUGGGCGAUGUACUGAGUGAUGAACACAUGGCAGCACUAAGGGCAGCCAUAAAUCCCAUGGGACACUCCCAAUCACAUGGCUCAGACAUGUACCUACUUACUGUGCAGUAUGUCCAUCACUUACUAGGCUUACAGUAAAACGUACUCAGCAAAGUACCUGAUUCAAUGCAAUUGUAGCACAAAUACAAAAAGAACACUUAUUUACAGAACAGUGCCCCUGCUAAUAACUGGUUUGUAAGAUGUUACAGUUACACAAAUAAAUAUUUCUGAAUCAGUGAGGUGGUCUAAUGUUUGAUUUUUCUCUGUUUAAUCAAAUCAGACCAGCAGACAUACCCGUCUUUCCUCAAGCAGUGCUAGCAGCGGACUUUAAGACUUUCAGCUCUCUUAAUGUCGUAAUGAAUGUUCAAACCAAACACAUGUAGAUUGUAUUAUUUUUU